rnacentral:rRNA from 1 species
GACGAACGCUGGCGGCGUGCUUAACACAUGCAAGUCGAACGGAAAGGCCCUGCUUUUGUGGGGUGCUCGAGUGGCGAACGGGUGAGUAACACGUGAGUAACCUGCCCUUGACUUUGGUAUAACUUCAGGAAACUUGGGCUAAUACCGGAUAGGAGCUCCUGCUGCAUGGUGGGGUUUGGAAAGUUUCGGCGGUUGGGGAUGGACUCGCGGCUUAUCAGCUUGUUGGUGGGGUAGUGGCUUACCAAGGCUUUGACGGGUAGCCGGCCUGAGAGGGGGACCGGCCACAUUGGGACUGAGAUACGGCCCAGACUCCUACGGGAGGCAGCAGUGGGGAAUAUUGCACAAUGGGCGGAAGCCUGAUGCAGCAACGCCGCGUGCGGGAUGACGGCCUUCGGGUUGUAAACCGCUUUCGCCUGUGACGAAGCGUGAGUGACGGUAAUGGGUAAAGAAGCACCGGCUAACUACGUG